UUCUGGCUCAGGAUGAACGCUAGCGGCAGGCUUAACACAUGCAAGUCGAGGGGCAGCAUAAUGGAUAGCAAUAUCUAUGGUGGCGACCGGCGCACGGGUGCGUAACGCGUAUGCAACCUACCUUUAACAGGGGGAUAACACUGAGAAAUUGGUACUAAUACCCCAUAAUAUCAUAGAAGGCAUCUUUUAUGGUUGAAAAUUCCGAUGGUUAGAGAUGGGCAUGCGUUGUAUUAGCUUAGG
rnacentral:rRNA from 1 species